GGUGUGUGGCUGGGGAUGCACCACCAGCAGAGACCCUGUGCACAGAGCCGGGCUGGUCUGCUGGGGAGCCAGGGCCACCAGCCCGGGGAAGUGCAUGUGCUGGUACCACAGAACAGCUGGGAUGAGGGCACAUAAAUAAAUCCUGCUCCCCCCAGAUCCAGAUGUACCUGAAAGAGGUCAACUUGGCCAACUGAGGGUAUUGCCAGGAGCAGCCAAGGGAUUUUUCUGGCCCCCGUGCGGCACUCCUGCCUCUCCAGUGAUGCAUUCCCAGUCAGAGGCAAUGUGCCUUUUCCUCACCCCCAGCAAAGCCAGGCCAGGCACUGCCCAGUCUUGCACCACUUUGGCUGGCAAGUGUGAAGUACCAGCACAAGCUCUGUAACUUCAGAGAAGCCAGCAGGGCUCAGUCUGAACACCCCUGCCUGUGCCCAGGGUGACUCUGUGUUAACUGGUUGUGAUCGCUUGCUUUCCAAAUGAAUCCCAUCCGUGGGUGGCUGUUUAUACAGGUUUCGUUUGCCUCCUGUGAAGACAGAUGUUGUUCCAGCUUCCACUGCCAUCUCAGUGGGUUAGAUAUGAGCUUCCCUGGUGAAUAAAACACAAGUUGGAAAAAUUUUGACUUUAGUUCCCAUUCCAGAGCAACUGCAGUGGGAUGAGUCAGGCACUGCAGCCACAGGAUAAUGGAAGAGAAUGUGUAUUUUAAUGAGCCCAUUUCAGAGCAGAUGCACUAAUAGCUUUCACAGCACCUCACUGCUGAGGGUGGAGGGCUGUUAGGGGUUCAUCUGUUCCUGCGAUGGCCAGGUGGCACCAGAGAUGCUCUGCACUGAGCCCUGGCUUUCACCCCUGGGCAAGGAGUGCUGCCUGUGCUGUUAUUGGAGCAGAGAGGGACCUACAACCCCUGCCCAGGGGCAUCUUCCCCCUGCAUCCAGAUCAGAGAUGCCCACAGACACCUCUGGCCACUGACUUUGCACAGCAUGGGUAUGCACAGCCCUAGCGGAAGCUGUUCUUUUCUCAUGGGUCCCUUCCACAAGUAUGAAAGCCCCUCUUCUAUAAAAGGACCAUUUCUGACCCCCAGGUGGUAUUCCUGCCUCACAAAGACCUUGGUGCUGGUUGAACUGGGUUCCCAGCCUCUAUUUUGCUUGGGUGCAGGUAGUGGCAGCAGCUGCAGCUUUGUGUGACCACUGGUGGCAGCAGGGCUGGGCUCUCCCACCCAGCAGCUCCCAGGCACACAGCCUGUCCAGCCUGACCUGCUAUCCAUGGUCACACAUGCAUCCAGCACAAAACCCCUACAACUGGGGUACACAGCUCAGGUCUAAGAAAAGGGUGAGGAACUGGGGACUAGCCUCCCACAGUUCAGUGGUCUUUGAAUCCAUUUACUUGUAAUUAGAAUGAGGAUGAGUUUUUGUAGAGAUGUAAGGAACAGCCAGUGAUCUGAGUGAUCAAUCAGAUCACAGAGGAGAAAACUGACAUUUUCCUGUAUUGGGAUGCCAUAGAAAUGAAGUAAAGCUGCAGUGUUGAAGUAAAGCUGCCUGUCUCUGAAACCAAGGUGCUUUUUACAUAAGCUGUUAGGAUUCAGCUCUACUAUCCUCUUCAAUUUUCUAAUUGACAUUCAAGCAAAUGCUCUCCAAGACAUGGGCUGUUGGUGAGCAAAGUAAAGGUUACACUGUAAUCAGCUGCUGUUAUUGCAUGAGAUAAUGAGAUCCUGAUGUCUACACUCAGCUGAUCACUAAAGGUGUUCCUAGGGUCCAUACACUACUGUCGUCAUGGUUGUGAUCACUGUCAGCAGCACCACCUCAUUAUCUCAUGACUUGGACUUGGUCCCUCCAUGUCAUGGAAGUCCCAGGCUUAUCCUUGGGACUGCAAGGAUUGCACCUGCACAUGCUGAUCCUUUUUCAUUUACUCACAAGCUCUCAGGUUUGAGAGUGGGUGAGCAUCCAUGGGUGAAGUGCAGCUGGAAUUAAUUGCACAUGCCAAAGGAUGAAGGAUGGAUGACAAACCACCAGGUGUCUAGAAAGCUUUUUUCCCUCAAUGUCUCUUGACUGAAUAAAGCCAUAAUGGAGUGUGACAAA